UACAGAGGGUGCGAGCGUUAAUCGGAAUUACUGGGCGUAAAGCGUGCGUAGACGGUUAUUUAAGUCGGGUGUGAAAGCCCCGGGCUCAACCUGGGAAUUGCGCUCGAAACUACGACGCUGGAGUAUGGCAGAGGAAGGUGGAAUUCCACGUGUAGCGGUGAAAUGCGUAGAGAUGUGGAGGAACACCGAUGGCGAAGGCAGCCUUCUGGGCCAAUACUGACGCUCAUGCACGAAAGCGUGGGAGCAAACAGG
rnacentral:rRNA from 1 species